GACGUAGGGGGCGAGCGUUGUCCGGAUUUAUUGGGCGUAAAGAGCUCGUAGGCGGUUUGUCGCGUCUGCUGUGAAAACUCAGGGCUUAACUCUGAGCUUGCAGUGGGUACGGGCAGACUAGAGUGCGGUAGGGGAGACUGGAAUUCCUGGUGUAGCGGUGAAAUGCGCAGAUAUCAGGAGGAACACCGGUGGCGAAGGCGGCCCACUGGUCCGGUACUGACGCUGGAGGUGCG
rnacentral:rRNA from 1 species